UACAGAGGGUGCGAGCGUUGUUCGGAAUUAUUGGGCGUAAAGCGAGUGUAGGCGGGAUCGUAUGUCGGGUGUGAAAGCCCUCGGCUCAACCGAGGAAGUGCGCCUGAAACUGCGGUUCUUGAGUGUCGGAGAGGGUGGCGGAAUUCCCGGUGUAGAGGUGAAAUUCGUAGAUAUCGGGAGGAACACCAGAGGCGAAGGCGGCCACCUGGACGAACACUGACGCUGAGACUCGAAAGCGUGGGGAGCAAACAGG
rnacentral:rRNA from 1 species